UACCCAUGGUUAUUGUUUGCGGCAUCUAAAGGAAAAUUUUAAGAAAAAGCUCAAUGGGUUGUCAGCAGUAUAAAGAGAAAGGUGUUGAGCCUACUUGAUAGCACAGUUUAUGCACUAUAAAUAUCAUAAUUCAUUGGUUAUAUUAGUGAUAUAAGAGAGAUUUCACCGAAGGCAUGUGAAUGGAUUGAAUGUGGCUCAGAUAUUGAUCACUGGCCCAAUAUUCUAUUUAAGAGAGAGUGAUAUGGAGAGAUGUACUCUAAUAUUGUGGAGUCAUUUAACAACUG
rnacentral:lncRNA from 1 species